GUUUUCCGAUCCCGAGGCGGCUAAUGAGCGGCUGGAAUGUCAAGCUGGAAUGUUAAUCGGCCGGAAUUCAUCAAUCACUCGAACGAGAGAAAAUGUGGAACGACGUGUGAUUUACGAAAACUAAAUCAGAUACGUAGAACGCGGAGAACGGAUAUAAAUCAUAAUUAGGCCGGCCGGCAAAAAGUCGCGGGAUCCCGAUAUAUCGUUUCCAUCUCGUUGUUUCGAUCCUUCCCCCUCUCUUUUCCCUCCUCCCACCUAGCCAACGAAUCAGCAAUUAUCACCUCGAUGAGAAUUAAUUCGUGAAAUCACUCAUUACUCUUCGAUAUCGCAAACUUUGCAAACUUUUUAAUCAAGAGUUGAAAGUCAACGAGAAAAAUUCUAUUCCAUUACCAUUUAAGGAUCUUAAAAAUCCUUCUCCUCGAUACGAAGUAACAAAAUGUUCGGUUUGUUCGGAGAGUAAUUUCGUUUUUUCACACGAGCGUCGCUACAGUCGGAUGUUUAUCCAGCCAACUUCAUUCCAAACCGUGUCGUCGUUAUACGCGUAUUCCGAAAGUCGGAAUUCGUUUGAUUCCGUGCGAUCGCGUUUUAAUUAUUUUAUUUUUACCGAGAAGAAGAAGAAGAAGAAGAAGAAGAAGAAGAAGAAGAAGAAGAAGAAGAAGAAGGACGUUAAAUACGUGCAAGUUGACGAAGACAAAAAAAAAUUUGAUUAGGCAAAAUUUCGAUCGAAUUCGAUCGAGCUUGCACUCUUCUCUCGGAAGAAAAAUAUAACAAUACGACAACUGAACAACUGAGUAACGAAGUAUCGUGUUCGAUCAGCAAUUGAAGCAGCGUGAAGCAAUAUCCUCCCAUCGAAGGUUCCCCUCGGUAAGAAACAAGCUAGCUGGAAGGGGCAAGGUGUCGCUUCGCUUGGGCGAGAUGAUUGACAAGUAUGCAAUUCUGGGUGAGGCAAAGGACGCGGCAGAGCGAAAAGUAGCGAAGCUAUUCUGCUGCGGUUGGUGUUUCCUCCUCUUCCUCCUCCUCCUCCUCCACCGCCGCCGCCUCUGCGCUCGAGACGCCAGACUCGGCCACCCUCCCCCUCUCCCUCGUGUCGGGCAUAUCAUUAAUCUUGCCGUGUUUUCUCGCGCACUCGGAUGUGGAUUUAGAGGCGAGACUCGGCCAAGAUCCAUGGAAACGUAGGUGAGCGCGUCCCGAAACGGAGCCGGGGGCCGUUUGUCUUCAUUCGAGGAACUCGAUCGAAGGCCUUCCCUUCCGGUUUCAUUCCGUCCACCGGAUGUCGCGGUGCGCAAUUCGAUUUCCUCUUCUGGUGAAAGAGUAAUCCAUGCAAUUUUGUGCAUCGGAAAGUUUGUUCGAGUUCGUUUGGUGGAAUUUUUUUUUUUUUUUUUUGGUGCGUUCGACGAAAAUAAUGGUGUAGUUGUUCCGUGCGACGAGAAUAAGAUUUGAAUUUAUUCGCGCGGAGAAGGAUUCAAGAAAACCCGUGCCGCCACUCUUUCACGAUCGGCCGUGAAUAAAAGGAUGGAAGAGCUCGAAUUGAAAAAGAUGAGACGAGGGACCCUUCUUGCAUGCAUCGCCUCUUUUUCCUCUCUCGUCUGUCCUCGUUGAUGUCGUCCGCCUGGAAAAUAAAGAAUUACCGGUUAAUGGGUUAUAGUCUUAUCUUUCUUAUCUUGUUAUUUGUUGUAGAAAAAAAAAAUAUAUAUAUAUAUAUAUAAUAAUUCGAAAGAUGUAAAAAGUAAUAUGAACGAUUAAAGGAACGACGAGUAAA